CAUCAUCAAUAUUUCAUCCCUGUAACAAUAAUCAAUAUAAAUGUUUAAUCAUCUUUGCACUACAGGCCAAAGAUAUUCAUUUGUAUCACCAGUUGGUCAUGUUCAUCUGAACACCUGUUCAUCUUUGCACUACGGGCCAAAGAGAUUCAUCAGUUUAAUCAUUCAUCAUUGCACUACAGGCCAAAGGUAUUCAUCAAGUAACACCAUUAAGGACUGAGGAUGAUGAAAAACAUUUUAGAGAACGAAUCCAGUAAGACAGAAGGACAAAUAUUAGGGAUUCGUACAACAGUUUAUCCAAGAUCAAUAAUACUUCAUAAUAAACGAUUUUGAAGCAGAACUCAAAAAUAACGAUCAAAACAUGGAUCCAAUCAAAGAUAGUAGCCGAAAUAGACAUCUUGGACAAAAAGAAAAAUUUUCAUUUUUCGGUGAAUAGUGCCGUAUUUGUGAAUAGUGCCGUAUACGUGAAUAGUGCCGUAUACGUGAAUAGUAACCCCGACACAAAAAGAUAGAAAUUUCACAAAAAACAUCUUCACGCUUCGUGAAUAGUACUCGUGAAUAGUAACUCGUGAAUAGUAACUCAUGAAUAGUAACUCGUGAAUAGUAACUCAUGAAUAGUAACCCCGACAUGAAAAAGUUCCAAAUUUGAUAAAAAGUUCAACCAAUAUUUUGGCAUAAUGAUAUUGAAGAAAAUAAUAUCAUUUGCGAAAGAAAUAACAUCCCUUACCUCAAAAUAACCGUACUUCUGACUGAAUUUCGGUAUAGUGCUGACAGAAACUCGCACCGUAUAGCAACACUCAAAGUAUACUCACAAGAAUACGCUCGAUAAU
rnacentral:lncRNA from 1 species